rnacentral:rRNA from 1 species
CACGUAGGGUGCGAUCGUUGUCCGGAAUUAUUGGGCGUAAAGAGCUCGUAGGCGGUGUGUCGCGUCGGCCGUGAAAACCUGCAGCUUAACUGUGGGCUUGCGGUCGAUACGGGCAUCACUGGAGUUCGGCAGGGGAGACUGGAAUUCCUGGUGUAGCGGUGAAAUGCGCAGAUAUCAGGAGGAACACCGGUGGCGAAGGCGGGUCUCUGGGACGGUACUGACGCUGAGACGCGAAAGCGUGGGGAGCAAACAGG